CCUACGGGAGGCAGCAGUGAGGAAUAUUGGUCAAUGGCCGAGAGGCUGAACCAGCCAAGUCGCGUGAGGGAAGAAUGUCCUAUGGAUUGUAAACCUCUUUUGUCAGGGAGCAAAGUCACCCACGUGUGGGUGUUGGAGAGUACCUGAAGAAAAAGCAUCGGCUAACUCCGUGCCAGCAGCCGCGGUAAU
rnacentral:rRNA from 1 species